CAGCCAUCACUUAGCCACCAUAAAAAAUCGCUCGCUCACUCAACCGCGCUAUUAUUUUCGGCUUGAAACUGGUUUUUCCCUUGUUUAUUAACAUAAAACGUCUGGAACUGGUUUUUCCCUUGUUUAUUAACAUAUAAGGUGACAAUUAAGCCUCGGCGAUCUCAGCGGAUUCUGCAGCAGCUAGGAUCAGCUCCGGCUGGAUGCCUCCGACGUAUGAUCCAUCCAAUGCGUUGGGGAGUCCCAGUGCCUUCAAUGCCAAGUGAGCUGCCUUUUGCCCUGAGAUCAUCAUGGCUCCGAAUGUAGGUCCCUGCAUCCCCAAUAAUGUUACAAAUUAUAUUAUUAGGACUACGUUGAUAUCGACGGAUACCAAACCCACAAUGUUUAUAUCAAGUGGGAAUCUUAUUAGGACCACAUAAAGAUCUAGUAAUGGUACUAUUCCAAACAUAAAAGAACAGGAAAAGAAUGGAAGAGCUUUUGGACCCACGUUCUUUCGAAAUCACUAUGCAUGGAUUGAGGCUUAAGUAAUUCUACGGUCCUAAGGUGUUUUUGUUUCGUAAUUAAACGCCGAGGGGAGAGGCCACUGUCUAUCUACGCUGUGCAUUUACAUGUCAAAAUUCGAAGCUUAAAACUAGGACGUUAUGCUUGAUAAAUCAAAUAUUCUAAUCCUUAAUGUUUUAUCUAAAUCGUCUAAGCCCACCACCGCGAUCACCAUUUUGACUAAAUGUGAUCGCGAUGGCUUGAAGCGGUUGGAUAAAAUCAGCCAAGCACAGUAAUGGCUAUACCAAAAAGUAAAACAGUAAAUAAAUCAAGAACAAAUGGAAUGAGUCAGAAAUGUACCAUUCUUGGGGAUCCAUCAAUCUCGGCAACUUCCAUGCCGGUGACGAUCAUUCCUGGCACAAUUUCCCUUGUGAGCUUCACGAUAGCAUCCUCAGCUGCGUUCAUGUCCAAGGCCUUCAUCCCGGGCACGCUCUCAAUCAUCCCAACGCUCCUCAGCCUCUUUACGCCGGUGGCUCCCAUGGGUCCGUCAUGACCACAUGAGCUCACCACAACCUUGGCCUCCAUGACGUUGGGGUCCAUGCACGACUGUGUGUCGUGGUUCAUUGAGACCAAGGCCCAGUUGGUGACCACCCCACCAACUCUGCCACCCUUAAUGAUCAAGUCCUCGGCGGCCACAGCGUUGAAGAGCUUCACGUUGGGCCGGGCAAGGAGCUUGCUCAUGAUGGUGGAGGUGAAUAGGGCGGCGUGCUUGAUGACAACGUAGUUGUCUUGCUCAUCGUAGUCAAUGCCGAGCUCGUUAAGGAAGAGAUGGGCGGGUUUGCGCACAACCUAUAUAUGUCAACAUAUAAAUUAAAUCUUAAGUACUACAAAAUAUAAGACAAAAUAUUUUCAAAAUUUUCAAGUUAGAACAUUGAAAUAUUUUCGAAAUUUAUGUUGCUUUCCAAAAUUGUACUUUUAAUUUUCAUAGCAUUCAUUUCUCACUAGAACAUUUAACCAAAUAUAAGGCCAACCCAUUUAACGGAAUAAGACUUGGUUGCAAUUGUUGUAAUGUUAACUAAAUAGCGGGAUUAUCUCGCUUCCAUAAAUUCACCAUAAUCAAGCAAUCUAAUUGUGAUUCAUUAGUGCAUAGAUGAAAUCUAUAUAUAUUGUAUAUUUGGAAUUAAUUAAUAAGGAAUUACUUUUCUACAAAAUAUACAAAAUUUGUUUGAUUUACGAAUGAAAAUACAACAAUAUCAAACUAUUUAAUUAAUUACAAAAAUGGAAAUAAAGAAAUAAAUUACAAAAAAUAAAUUAACGAAUAUUUAUGCAAAUAAAAACAGACAUGCAUAACGAUACAGGUCAAAUUAUCCAAACAAGAUGGGGCAUGCGCGACACGUGUCACAGUCAAACGUUUCAUUCAUUUUACCGACAAACAUGAAUUUCAAAUUAACAAACAAUUUCCCAGAAAAAAGGCCAAAAAUUAAGCACCCGGAAACCUUAAACGACCAAAAAUGAUAAUUAAACUACAACAAAUCAUUAAUUAAAAGUUUCAAUAACUUUCCAAAAAUAUUAAAAUUAAUCAUAAAUGACAGUAAUUACCAUGGCAGAGAAGAGCUGGCCACCGAGCCAUGCACCUCCACCGGGGCUGACGGACUGCUCGAUGAUGGCGACCUGAACGUCGGGGUUCUUGCUGAGUUCGUAGGCGCAGGAUAGCCCGGCGGAGCCAGCACCGACGACAACGACGUCGGUGUCGGCGUAGGUGAUCAUGUCAGUCAUGUAGCGCCUUGUCAUCUCCCGGGAGACGAUGGAUUCCUUGAUGGGGUCGAACUUGAAAGCGCUCAAGUCGUAGGAGGGGGUCAAGCCGUUGGCGGACAUGGAGACGGAGAGGCCGCCGUUGUUGGCGGGGGCCGCCUUGGCCAGCUGAAGGCGGACCAUGGGAGCGCCAUGGAAGGAGGAGUCGAGGAGGGAGGACUUCUGGAGCUUGGCGGUGAGGGAGGAGGAGGUGAGGGUGGAAGCCAUGGUUGCCAUUGAUUGAUGCGAGAGAAGGAGAGAGAGGGAGAGAGAGAGAAGAUGAUAAGAUGGGGUGAUUUGGGGGUUUAGCGUUUGCAAGUCAGAAGAUGGAAGUGAAGAGAGUGGUUAUUUAAGGAGGAGGGUGACGUAUAUGUAAAAUUGAAGAUGGACACGUGGGAAGAGGAUAGGAUAUGAAGGGUCUAGAACCUCUUGGGAGGUACAAGUGGCAAGCAUGAACCAGUCCACGGUGUGUGUUUGAGUGUGAGGAGAGUGAAUAGAGAGGGAAAUGUUAGAUGACAAAGUUUAUA
rnacentral:lncRNA from 1 species